CACAAACUCAAUGAAAUACACAAAACUCUUUAUUAAUCGACUGAAUACUCUUGUUUUGAUUUCUUUCGCUCAACUGGCCCACCAUGGCGACUUUCGAUAUAACUGCAACUGUCAAUAUAGAUGCCAACAAAUUAAACAUAUUACAACACUAUGAAAAUACAGAUUGUAAACAACAAGAUUAUUAUCAACAAUUCAUGUAAUGGAGACUAUUGCUUAAUUGAGUGUCCAUUUAUUGAACAAAUUCUUC